CGCGUAGGCGGACCUUCAAGUCGGGUGUGAAAACCGGCGGCUCAACUGCCGGCCUGCAUUCGAUACUGUUGGUCUUGAGUACAUGAGAGGAAAGCGGAAUUCCAGGUGUAGCGGUGAAAUGCGUAGAUAUCUGGAAGAACACCAGUAGCGAAGGCGGCUUUCUGGCGUGAUACUGACGCUGAAGCGCGAAGGCUAGGGGAGCAAACA
rnacentral:rRNA from 1 species